rnacentral:rRNA from 1 species
UACGUAGGGUGCAAGCGUUGUCCGGAAUUAUUGGGCGUAAAGAGCUCGUAGGCGGUUUGUCGCGUCUGCUGUGAAAACCCGAGGCUUAACCCCGGGUCGCAGUGGAUACGGGCAGGCUAGAGGUAGGUAGGGGAGAAUGGAAUUCCCGGUGUAGCGGUGAAAUGCGCAGAUAUCGGGAGGAACACCGGUGGCGAAGGCGGUUCUCUGGGCCUUACCUGACGCUGAGGAGCGAAAGCGUGGGGAGCGAACAGG